rnacentral:rRNA from 1 species
CAGCAGCCGCGGUAAUACGGAGGGGGCUGGCGUUGUUCGGAAUUACUGGGCGUAAAGCGCGCGUAGGCGGUUACUCAAGUCAGAGGUGAAAGCCCGGGGCUCAACCCCGGAACUGCCUUUGAAACUAGGUGACUAGAAUCUUGGAGAGGUCAGUGGAAUUCCGAGUGUAGAGGUGAAAUUCGUAGAUAUUCGGAAGAACACCAGUGGCGAAGGCGACUGACUGGACAAGUAUUGACGCUGAGGUGCGAAAGCGUGGGGAGCAAACAGGAUUAGAUACCCGAGUAGUCCCUGUCUCUUAUAC